GGGAGCUUAGCUCAGUUGGUUUAGNNCUGCCUUACAAGCAGGGGGUCACAAGUUCGAUUCUUGUAGUUCCCA
rnacentral:tRNA from 1 species